UCCAUUCGAUGCUCAUCCCCAUUCCUAUCCAGCCGGCCGCGUCUUCCUCCGCAGCCACAAAGCGCGCUCGUGGCCAUGGCCGCCGGCAGCUCGAUGCGCCUUGUUCGAAUUGUGUGUGGAUCGCCGGCGCCGGAUGCCAGCCAGGGGCGCGCUCAUUGCCGUCGCCUUGUCCGCCUCCGGCAGCAGCUGGAUGCGCGCCAUCUCCAUGGCCGCCACAGCCAGGGUGUGCCGUUCGCCAUGGCCAAGCUACAACCGACCACGGCGACGGCGAGUUUUGUGUUGGAACCAGCUGGUGUAUGUGCUACAAGGUCAGUGCCUCACCGGAGGAAGCUACAUCCAGCGGCAAGGAGUGUUGCAUCCAACGCCGUUCGAUGUCGGGGAGCUGCAACCGUGCACGCCGGAGCUGCAACCGACUACUGAGGGAGCUGCAAGAGGGGUGGCCGCUUUUUGCCGAUGCUUUUUUUUGCCGAACCAAUUUUUUUGUUUUUGUUGAAACCCAUGUAUUUUUUUUUUGCUGGAACUGAAAUGAUUUUUUGCUUCAUCGGUGCAGAGCUCUCAAAUGCUCAUCUUGUUUUUGAUGGGACCUAAGUUUGUUUUUGCUGGAACCGUUUUUUGAUUUUGCUUCAACAGACCACCGGACUUUGACCCGAUGUGAAGUUUUUUGCUCGAAGAAAUUUGUUGCUUCCAGAUUUUUGUUGCUUGACACUGGCCCGCAGCGAGCCGGAGACGCAGAGAUGCUGCAACCAGCCACCUGAGUGCUACCAUGGGCAUCACCAGAAGCUAGAUCCAACAAAUAGUUUUGCUAUCACCAACUCUUUUUUACUGGAAACAGCUCCAAAAUUUUGCUUCCACCAUGUUCUGUUUUUUGCUGGAUCCAGUUUUUUUUUUUUUUGCUUCCACCAUGACGGCGACCACCGGCAGCGACGACGGUGACCGGUGGGGAGGGCAGCGACAGGCGAGCGCACGGGCGAUGCUUCGUGGCCGGGCGCAUCGCCUCAUCCAUGGCCGCCGGAUGAAAGUUUUUUGUAAACUAGUAAGUGUGUACGUGCAACGCACGUCGCACGUCUCAAUCAAACCAUAUCAAAUUUUGCGGGUAUAAAAUUUUGAAUUCAAACUUUAGGAUGA